GCUCAGGCCCCGCAAAACUGCAGCAUCAUGUAACUCCGUGGCACCAUUCCUGUGUUUUCCUGGCCAUCUCGAGCUAGUUGAUUCCCAAAGCAAAAGUUUUUUUUUUUUUUCCUUAAAAAAAAAAAAGAAGAUAUCAAAACCAAGGUUGAAAUUUUUGUUUUCUAUAGCAGGAAUUUUAUAUAUAUAUAUAUUAAAAAUGCUAAAAGAUGCUUUUUUUUUUUUUUGUAAAGAAAAAAAAAUCUAUUUCUAUAAAAAAAAAGAAAAAGCUUUUCAGCUUCACAACUUUUUUUAAAACUUCAGCCAAAGACACCGACGAAUCGUGUUUACCGAACAGCAAUGCAGGAAGAGAUCGUAGUUUAAUAGCUCUCUAGCUGAUGCCUUUUUUUGCCAAAGCUUUUUAUAUAGGACUAAGACAAGCGAAGCCAGCCCGGGUAUGUGCNNNNNNNNNNNNNNNNNNNNNNNNNNNNNNNNNNNNNNNNNNNNNNNNNNNNNNNNNNNNNNNNNNNNNNNNNNNNNNNNNNNNNNNNNNNNNNNNNNNNGCCACCUUGCCGACCCCCCCCGGGCACCGUUUCCACCCCCCCCCCCAAGGGUUUCUCAGCAGCCGAGCUGUGCCUUAGCCAGGAGCCUUGCCACCAACGUAGCCCCGAGGUGGGUCCCCUGAUGGCCAAGCUGCGCCCUGCUCCUGGCAGAUUCGGCUGAGGGGGCAGCGGCCCCCACUCCUGGGGGGGCUCCCGGGGGGCUGGAUCCAACCCCGUGCCCCAUGGGGUUCAGUCCUGCCGUGUCCAGCCUGGCUCUCCUCCGGUGCAGGAGUUUGGGCGCCCGUUCCAGGGCAGGAUGAGGCCAAGGAUGCUCGGGCUGGGCUGUUUUGGGGAGGGGGAUUUCGGGGUCUGGCACAGGCAGCUCCCCUCCCUGCAAGGCUCCAGCCAGCUACCAGCAGAGAUUUCCACGUGUUGCCCCGCUGGGGGGGGGGGGGGGCAGCCAGGAGCCCUCCUCCCACUGCAGAGCCAGGGGAUUGAGGUUCAAGAGGCUGCGGGAUCAGGGGUUGCCUCCCCCAGGGACUCUGGGGACAGAUGCUCCCCUGAUGUGGGGAUGGAGGGGGCUGCAAUUUGCUCCCCCCGACCCGGGGGGGGCCGUGCCAGGCACCGUGGCCGGGUAGGAGGGGCGCUGGGGAAAGGGGAGAGCUGCAAAGCCGGCGCGUAAUCGGCUUUGCUGGACACGGGCACCGGGGAGCCGCGAUGUGAGCGAGCACCGGCGGGCGGCCGGGGCGCAGGCACAGCCAGGUAGGUGCCCGGCGUGCCCACCCCCACCCUACAAGACAAACACCCCCCCCCACAACACCAGUGCGCAACCAGGGGCUUGGGCAUGGGGCCUCCUGGCCGUGUCGGGGUCCCAUCACCCCCAAAAAUCGGGUGCGAGCAGGGCUGAGGACAGGGGGAGCUGAUGUGGCUUUGGUGCGUGCAAUUUUGUGCCAAUUUGUGGGGGCACACAAGGCAUCUCCACCCCCCACACACACACACAGCCCCCCAGGAGGAGGGAUUGCGGUGGGGGGCUCGGGAUCAGGUGCUCUCCCUGCUUUUGGGGUGGCUGGGCACAUUUUGGCUCCGGUGCCAGCACCACCACGUGCCUGACCCCAUGUCAGCAGGGCACCCGGCGUGCUGGAGGCUUGGGGACACCCACACUACACCCCUGGGGGGGGUGAACCCCAAAAUUGGAGGUGCCUAGGAGUUGUGCUGUGUCCCACGAGGUGGGAACCCACCCCAGCCCAGCACCCCAAAAAUCACGAGGCUGUGUGCUGUUGGAUAUGGGGUGAAUCCGGACACGCUGCGGGGACCUCGUGCUCCAUCCUGGCCGUGAUCCCAUCUGGGAGCAGUAGGAGAUGUCCCGGUGCCCCCCAAAACCCCAUAGAGGACCCCAGAGUCCUGUACGGGAAGGGCUGAGCUGGCGGCAUUGCUCAGUGCCCUUUGUCACCAUCGGUGCCCUGGGGACUUCACGUGGCCCAUGGAACCCGUGCCUGACCCCUUGGGACCGUGCACAACCCCAUGGGCACCACACACAAGGGUGCUUGGGGGGGGGGGGGGGGAACCCUCAGGUAUUGGGGCCCCCGGACCAAGCACCCAGCUGGGGACAGAGCCAGGACUGACCCUGAUACUUGGGAGCCACCAGGGUUUACCCACCCGGGGCUCAUCUCAGCGGGUUCCUG
rnacentral:lncRNA from 1 species